UUUUGAAUCAUUUAUAUAAUGAAUUCAGUUUCGACCUGAAAAAAGGUAAACUCAACCCUUAAUUG
rnacentral:tRNA from 1 species